UUUGAAAGCUUGAAGGAAAAUCUGCCAUCAAUCAGAGAUGAUAUUCAGUCAACAGUUGAUGAAAUUAGUGAAUGUCUGGACAUUAUUCAAAAUAAAGAUGAUAAUGUGCCUUUGGUUCCUGUGGAUGAAGAGGAAAUAGAAGAAUUCCACAAUGCCGAACUGCGACAAAUUCGUCUAGACUCCUUGAGAGAAGGUGAAAAGCUUCAAGAGAAUAGUGAGAAUAAGGUAAUUUUUGAUGCAUUGAGAGAACUAUACAAAGUUCUAGUAACAAAGCAUUUGGCUGCAGUGCAAGAAUGGACCUCUGUCCUCAUAAGGGUGGAAGGGGCAGAUAGCAGGUUCCGAGACAACACAUUGAAGGAGCUCAUAGAUAUUCGAAAUCACCUUCAAUCGGUGAAGACAAAAUGUGAAGUUUCAGGUUGUGCUCUUCCUAAAAGUACAACUUCUGAGGAAGAAGAUAUUUGGGAAGAGGGUACUCUGGAAUCACAUGCAAAUGGAGAAUCAUUUAUUGAAGAGAAAAAGAGCGAGUUAUGUGUUGCAUCCACUUCCAGUAAGUUUGAAGGCAAAGCUUCUGAAGGCAGCAAAUCUAAGUUGGUAGCUGCGAAGAAACUGGAUGGUGGCUACAGUCAUAUGGAACCUAAUCCUGUGAGGAGUAAGCUAAUGGCUGAAGCCCCAGUUCUGAAGUGGGGUUCUUUCUUGGAUAACUGGGGCUCAAACCAAGAUGUAUUGGCUAAUCAGAGGGGUUUAGAAAUUGAAAAUCAUUGGGGUAGGGUAGACUAUGAUGCAGUGAUUCCGGCAGAAAAAAUUGCUGAGUUGAAUCUUCAGGCAAUUGUUUACAAAGAGGAACCUGUUGAGAUCCAACCAUGUCGGGCCCCAUUGAAGAAGGGGGGCCUUUGUCCAAGAAAAGACUUGAGAGUUUGUCCAUUUCAUGGACCAAUCAUUCCUCGGGAUGAUGAAGGGAGACCAAUCAAUCUGACUUCAAGUCCUGAGUUGGGGGGCGGUAACUCCUCAGGGGAAGAGAUGAGUCCUGAUUUAGUUGAGAAGUUAGUCAAGCAGGCUGUGAGAAAUGUUCGUGAGAGAGACAAAGAGGCAGCUAAGAAGAGAUACCAUGACAAACAGGAUUUGAAAAGAGCAAAGCUUGCAAAAGUUAGAGAACACAAUGAAGCAGUUCUACGUGAUGCUGCACUUGCUUCAACUUCAAGAUCUUCAUAUAUUGGUGAGGAUACAGAGGCAGUCAGCGGCCCAAGAUCUUUGCUUAGAAACAAGAGAGACACUCUCGCAUCCAUGCUGAAAAGGAAAGAAACUACUAAAGACAGGCUAGCCCAGAAGCUACUGAGUACCCGUGCUAAGGAUGCUACAGUAAGACAGUUAACUGUGGAAGAGGAGUCAAAUUACAAGGAAGCAUUUCCAAACCAAUGGUAGAUGAAAAUACAUCUCUGAUAAUGGUGAGUUCAGUAAAUCAUACAAAAUGUAGGGAUUCUCUUGGAUUUGUGUCAUAUUGAAUGUACUGUAAUAAUUCUUGACGGAUAUUUCAUUCAUUUAAUGGGAAUUUUCUUUGCACUUUGUUUCCUUGAUUCUGUAACCUUAGCGGGUUUGAUGAGAUUCGCCUCCAUUCUUCUUCUCAUUUGAACAUUAAUUCCCAGUUUUCUUCUUCUACAAAAUCAUUGUACAACAUCAAUCUCAUCAACAAUAAAAACAUCAUCAACAACCAAAAUGGUAGGGUCCUGUUUCCUCCCUUUCCCAGUAUCCAUGAGCUCCUUAGCAGGUUUGUGCCAAUUUUAUGUACCCUCCAAUCUGUGAGGUCUGUUUCUUUUCUCUAUAUUGUUUUCUCUCUUUUUCUCUUUUUUGCUCUUGUAGCUGUCAUUCCUCCAAAUUUAUGUCAAAGUUUGGAUCUUUAUUCCUCAUGGGUUAACUGAUGCAAGUUUGAAUCUUUACUAUGGAAAUUUGUCCUUGAGAUAACAUACGUUUGACUCUCCAAAUUUAAUGGACAUGUUAUAUUUCAUUACUCCUGAGUUGGUCAAAUUAAAAUAAAGAUACAUCCUCAUGAAAGAGAGAUGGGUAUAUGAGUGCAUGUGUAAUUACUCGAGUGCUAAAAGCAUUCUAGACCCUCUUGUGGCAUGUGUAACUGUUAAUGAUGCUCCACUAUUUACAUUUAUUUUCUAGCUGUUUAUUACAUGUUUCAUUUCAUUUCUUUUUUGAUUAUUUUCCUGUGAGAGUUGCUUGAAUGAUUCCAAUCUCUCUGCCUCUCUCUGCCUCUCUUCGUGUGUUUUUAGGAUUUAAUCUAUUGAAAGUGGUUUGUUUAAUCUUGUUUAGGAUCUCGUAGCAUCUUAACUGGUAUCCCAGAAAGAUACUGGUUUUCCUUGUUUAUCAUUGCACGGAUUCUCUUUUAACAUGCUUUUUAAGCAAGCAUACUGUUGUUUACUGCAGUGGCACAAUGGGCGUACAAUCUGUUCUGCCUGUAAAGUGAGGGCACAUAAUCGCUAUCCAACGGGUAUUGGUGAUAUAAGAUGUUUUUCACUAGAGAAAGUGACUGAAUCACUUGAACUUCCACCCAAGUAUUGCUCCCUUGGAUGCCCUGAGAUAUUCCUUAUUACAUAAGCUGAAACGUGAGGCUGUUUGUAAAUUCAGACCUUACAACCGUCCAUACGCUGGUUCAGAGUGCUCAGUUCUUGGGGAUAUUUCUUACCUAGUUGCACAUAUGCGAGAUGUUCACAAGGUGGACGUGCACUUUUAAUCAGCUUUAUGUCGAAUCUAAUCCUUGAGAAGUAGAAACCGCCACAUGGACGCUAACUGUAGGUAACUUUGUUUUUUGUACUUUCCUUAAAUAGUGCUUCCAAACUAUUUUGGUGUUUAUGAUGGAUGUUAAAUAUUAGUUGUAACUUGUGGGUAUUUGAACAUGCUUAAAGUCUUGGAGCAGGCAAUGUUCUGAUCUAGUUAAAAAUCAUGUAGUUGAUCGAGUUGUACAAAACCAAUUCAUUUCAUAUUUCCUUUUUUCUUUUGGGCUGAUGUGCUUUUUGCUCCCACAGAAGAGCUCUUAUUUAUACAGUUUGCAAUGCCAAGUAGUCAGUAAGUGCUAGUCUUUCCAAUGAAUAUCUGCCCUCUUUAAUUAAAAACAAAACUAGAGAAAAUGAAAGGAAGAUAAGGCCUAGGGGAACCAAAUGCUCAUUAUUAGCAGUGGUUGUGGGUAGCUUAAAGAGAAUGUUGCCAAGUACUGCAUUUUAUUUUCCUCCUUUACUCCUUUACCGUGAAUGAUGAACGUGUUGCACAUUGUAUUCCUUUUCAGGUUUUUAAUUGUUUUGGCCCACUGCUUCUGCCUGCAUUUUGAAGCUUGGCAACUUUGCAUGGCUCCUGCUUAUAUGGCAUUUCUUCAAUUUAUGGGAGAUGAUAUAGAAGCUAGGAACUUCAGGUACACCUUGGAGGUGGGAGGCAAUUGCCGGAAACUCACCAGUGCCCUAGAAGCCUUAGAGACGAUCACAAGAAAGUCAGGGACAGCCAGGAUGGUCUGAUCAUGCAGCUUAACAUGGCGCUGUUUUUUUCUGGU
rnacentral:lncRNA from 1 species